ACAAUAGUGCUUUGUACUAUUUAACACUUUUCAUCUGACGAUUAAAAAGUAUUUUGCAAACAGCAUCUCAAUAAUCCUAGCAACCUCUUGGUUAGAGUGUCUGCAGAUUUUUUUUCUUUUUCCCGUAAUUGGAAGAACUGAAACAGAAGCAGAAGAAGAAGCAGAAGCAGGGCUUUUUACACAGAUAUCUACUGUCAGCAUCUGAGCCUGAGCCAGGAUCCAAGUGUAUUCUCAUCAAGGUCAAGUGGCAUCUAACUGUUAUUUUAUUAUGGAAUCAGAGCUGAAUUGCUUGCCAGGCAACCAUAGACCCCUGCAUCUUUGGGAGCUGCAUUUUUGAUAAAUAAGAAACGAAGAACAUGAUACAAACCCAGUACCUGUGUGAACCCAUGAUAAACAUAUCAUGAACGGUCCAGGCGAUCUUUGGUUUGGGAUAACCUGUUGCCGAACACAUGAUGGAGACCUCAGACCCUCCUGUGAAAGACUGAUUCCUGGGCAGCACAGUGACUUUGGGUGCUUCUGCAAACAAAAAUAUGUAAAAAACUCAUUUUAAUGAAGUAGUUUCAAUGGAGCAAGAACAUGGAAUUGAAGAACCACAGUUCAACUCCAUCAAUAAAAUAACAUCAUUUGCCAACUAACAAACUGAAUCUACAUCUCUUUAUUUACAAUGUAAAAUCCUGUUCUGAUAGGAAAACAAAAUAGUACUAAUGUUGGAUUUAGAAGUCUGGAGUUCAGCUGGCCCUGGUGGCUCACGCCACUUUGAGAAUCCGAGGCAGGUGGAUCACGAGGUCAGGAGAUGGAGAGCAUCCUCGCUAAUACAGUGAAACCCUGUCUCUACUAAAAAUACAAAAAAUUA